GCCUGUGCUUUCUGUCUUCUCUCCUAAUAAACACUUUACUUGCCUCACUACUUUUCAUCUCUUUGCUGAAUUCUUUCUUCAAAGCAGAUGAGAGCCAGGGCCCUGCUCCUAGCCAAUAAUCCCUGGUGGUCUAGUGGUUAGAAUUCGGCGCUUUCACUGCUGUGGUCCGGGUUCAAUUCCCAGGGAACUGAGAUCCCACUUCAAGCUGCCGCUCACUGUGGUUGCUCACAGCCACCUGAGAUCAGGGCCUUUAGACUCAGACUGAAUCACACACCAGCUUUCCUGGUUCCCAGCUUGCAGAUGGCAGACUAUGGGACUUCUUGGCUUCCGUCACUGCUUCCUAAUGGGUGUGCAGUGGUGUCUCGUGGGUUUGAUUUGCGUUUCCCUGAUGACCAUCUUGAGCAUCUUGGUCCAGUUUAUGUGUUUUCCUUUCACUUGACAUUGUCUCUUUAAAAAAAGAAAUGAGAAGCCCACGCACCACAGCGAAGAGUAGCCCCGGCUCGCUGCAACUAGAGAAAGCCCACGCACAGCAACGAGGACCCAGUGCAGCCAAAAAUAAAUAAAAUUUAAAAAAAAAGAAAUAAAAUGCAUCUUUUGCCU